rnacentral:rRNA from 1 species
CCUACGGGUGGCAGCAGUGGGGAAUAUUGGACAAUGGGGGGAACCCUGAACCAGCGACGCCGCGUGAGUGAAGAAGUAUUUCGGUAUGUAAAGCUCUAUCAGCAGGGAAGAAAAUGACGGUACCUGACUAAGAAGCCCCGGCUAACUACGAGCCAGUAGCCGCGGUUAUAUGGAGGGGGCAAGCGUUAUACGGAUUUACUGGGUUUAAGGGGAGCGUAGACGGUGCAGCAAGUCUGAUGUGAAAGGUCGGGGCCCAACCCCGGGACUGCAUUGGAAACUGUGGAACUGGAGUACAGGAGAGGUAAGCGGAAUUCCUGGUGUAGCGGUGAAAUGCGUAGAUAUUAGGAGGAACACCAGUGGCGAAGGCGGCUUACUGGACUGUAACUGACGUUGAGGCUCGAAAGCGUGGGGAGCAAACAGGAUUAGAUACCCUGGUAGUC